rnacentral:lncRNA from 1 species
UAUAUAUAUAUAUAUAGUACACUAAUUUUUAAAAUUAAUAACACCUAUACAUAAAAUUAAAAACUAAAUUCAUGGUUAACCCAAUUCCAAUAACUCUCUAACCUUCACUUAGAAAUUUUAUCGAACAGUUGAUAGGCGGGACAACCAAUCUCCAACUCUACUUGAGGUUGAUAGCCUCCCAACAUAAACCUCAAAAGACAUUUGUACUCUGCAAAUAAAGAAAAUGAAUGAAUGACAUUAAUAACAUAUAUAAAUAGUCGAAUUCAAUGAUCUUGAGCCACAAAACUUGUAUGUUUUUGACUUCCGUAUUAAAUAAAUACUUUUAGUUUCCUCUCACUAAUAACAUGGAUUACAACAAAGUUUGUAAUUCAAGUGUUUAAUUCUAUUCAGAUUCUGAAAGCAAAUAAUGGCUUUACGCAAGGAAUUUGAUGUAAUAUAUUAUUCAUGCAUUCUGAAUUUAUUUUUAAGAAAAAUACUGAAAAACAUGUUUACCAAAGAAUAUGAAUAGUUUCAGGUGUGCUUGGAAAUAUCCAUAAAAAAUAUGAACAAUAGAUUCCUAUUAAUAUAUAUGAAAUUAGUCUUAGAAACUGAAUCUAAAACCCUAAUCAAGAGUAAUAUUGUGUUAAGAUAACUAAUAAGAGAACUUAAUUAAGAAAAUAAGUGGAAAGAUUCCUAGUAUGCACAUGAAUUUUGAGUAACAGAGUAAGAGUAAUUUCCACUAAAUUAUUAAUCAUAAAAUUGAGAAAAACACACUAAAAUAAACCGGCGUGAAGUAAAUAAAUAUAAGAAAUAGCACCUUUUGGAAUUGUAAUACUAUGAAAUGGAAACCGAAGAGUUUUGGAAUUGUAAUUCUUCCCUCGUAUUUAAUGCGUCAAAGUUAUUUUAGAUUCGACGGAAUUUCGUCGGAGAUAAGUCAGUCAGAAAUUAGAAAAGAUCGACGAAUAUUGUGACGGAACUUAUCUCUGACGUGUGUAUAUAUAACCGAAUAUCCGAUGGAUACUUCAGUCGGAAAUAACUUAUCUUCGACGAAAUAGUCUUAUUUUCGAGGGAAUAUUUCGUCGAAAAUAAGGCUUUUUCUUGUAGUGUACAUAAAAUUAAAAACUAAAUUCAUGGUUAAUCCAAUUCCAAUAACUCUCUAACCUUCAAUUAAAAAUUUCAUCGAACAUUUGAUAGGCGGGACAACCAAUCUCCAUCUCCACUUGAGGUUGAUAACCUCCCAACAUGCAUAAACCUUAAAAGACAUUUGUGCUCUACAAAUAAAGAAAAUGAAUUAUUGACACUAAUAAUAUAGAUUCAGUGACCUAGAGCCACAAAACUCGUAUGUUUUUGACUUCCGUAUUACAUAUAUACUUUUAGUUUCCUCUCACUAAUAGCAUAAAUUACAACAAAGUUUGUAAUUCAAGUGUUUAAUUAGAUUUCAAAUUCAUUGUUUCAUUUAAUUAUUUAUGACAUGAAACAUUAUCCCUUAUGUAUGUAUUACAUCUACAUAUAUAACAUUUAACUGAGAUAGUAAAACACAAUCUCUCACUCUAUCUCUCACUCUGUAUGUGAGUAUUUUUGCUCGAGUGUGUGGAUGAAGAUAUUACAAUUCUAUAGUAAAGUAUAUAAAUGAGAUUAGUUUUUGAAUAAUUAAAUCAAUACAUACUGGCAAGCGCACACAUACAAAUACAAAUUCAAAUACACACACAUAUAUAUAUGGUAUAGUACUUUUUAAAAAUAACACCCAUACUUUAAAAAGUAAAAACUAAAUUGAUGGUUAACCCAAUUCCAGUAACUUUCUAAACCUUCACUUAAAAAUUUCAUCGAACAGUUGAUAGGCGGGACAAGCAAUCUCCAUCUAUGCUUGAGGUUGAUAGUCUCCCAACAUAAACCUCAAAAGACAUUUGUGCUUCAUAAAUAAAGAAAAUGAAUGAAUGACACUAAUAACAUAUAAAUAGUCAGAUUCAGUGACAAAACUUGUAUGUUUUUUACUUCCGUAUUAAAUCAAUACUUUUAGUUUCCUCUCACUAAUAACAUGGUUUGAAACAAAGUUUAUAAUUCAAGGACCAUGAGGAAAACCCUGUAAGGCUACGGUUAAGAAACUAAACUUUGUAACAUCAUAAUACACCAGAUUUAAACUUUGGUUUAACUUUUAACCCUGGCUAGAGGUCUAAAUGACAUAAUUUUACGCCUAAAAUUGCAAGCUUUACUUUUUUUGUUAGCAUGUGGACUAUUCAGGAUCUCAUAUCCUGAUUCGUUACCUUCUCACUUACAAAAUAAGGGCCAGUUCUUUACCUUCUUCAGUGGUAUGUUGUCACAGAAUAUGCCCCGGCCUAGAGGUGUUGAUGCUGCUGGUUUGUUACUGUGUGAGUUAGAACUUCA